rnacentral:rRNA from 1 species
GAUGAACGCUGGCGGCGUGCCUAAUACAUGCAAGUCGAGCGAACAGACGAGGAGCUUGCUCCUUCGACGUUAGCGGCGGACGGGUGAGUAACACGUAGGUAACCUACCUAUAAGACUGGGAUAACUUCGGGAAACCGGAGCUAAUACCGGAUAAUAUUUCGAACCGCAUGGUUCGAUAGUGAAAGAUGGCUUUGCUAUCACUUAUAGAUGGACCUGCGCCGUAUUAGCUAGUUGGUAAGGUAACGGCUUACCAAGGCAACGAUACGUAGCCGACCUGAGAGGGUAAUCGGCCACACUGGAACUGAGACACGGUCCAGACUCCUACGGGAGGCAGCAGUAGGGAAUCUUCCGCAAUGGGCGAAAGCCUGACGGAGCAACGCCGCGUGAGUGAUGAAGGUCUUCGGAUCGUAAAACUCUGUUAUUAGGGAAGAACAAACGUGUAAGUAACUGUGCACGUCUUGACGGUACCUAAUCAGAAAACCACGGCUAACUACGUG